GGGUCAGUAGGUUGGUCGUGCCACCGGUACGUACUGGUCUCACUGAUUCCUCCUUCCUGAACAACCGUAAUGCCAUUAAUUUGGUGUUGCGGGGAAACAGGACUGUUACUUUGAAAAAUUAGAGUGUUUAAAGCAAGCUAACGCUUGAAUACAUUAGCAUGGAAUAAUGAAAUAGGACGAUCGAUCCUAUUUUGUUGGUUUCUAGGAUUGACGUA
rnacentral:rRNA from 1 species